UACGUAGGUGGCAAGCGUUGUCCGGAAUUAUUGGGCGUAAAGCGCGCGCAGGUGGUUUCUUAAGUCUGAUGUGAAAGCCCACGGCUCAACCGUGGAGGGUCAUUGGAAACUGGGGAACUUGAGUGCAGGAGAGAAGAGUGGAAUUCCACGUGUAGCGGUGAAAUGCGUAGAGAUGUGGAGGAACACCGGUGGCGAAGGCGGGUCUCUGGGCCGAUAUUGACGCUGAGGAGCGAAAGCGUGGGGAGCGAACAGG
rnacentral:rRNA from 1 species